GUAGGGAAUCUUCCACAAUGGACGAAAGUCUGAUGGAGCAACGCCGCGUGAGUGAAGAAGGUCUUCGGAUCGUAAAACUCUGUUGUUAGUGAAGAACGUGCAUGAUAGUAACUGAUCAUGUAAUGACGGUAUCUAACCAGAAAGCCACGGCUAACUACGUGCCAGCAGCCGCGGUAAUACGUAGGUGGCAAGCGUUGUCCGGAUUUAUUGGGCGUAAAGGGAACGCAGGCGGUUUUUUAAGUCUGAUGUGAAAGCCUUCGGCUUAACCGAAGAAUAGCAUUGGAAACUGGAAGACUUGAGUGCAGAAGAGGAGAGUGGAAUUCCAUGUGUAGCGGUGAAAUGCGUAGAUAUUAGGAAGAACACCAGUGGCGAAGGCGACUUUCUGGACGAAAACUGACGCUGAGGCGCGAAAGCCAGGGGAGCGAACGGGAUUAGAUACCCUGGUAGUCC
rnacentral:rRNA from 1 species